rnacentral:rRNA from 1 species
AACCUCCGCAAUGUGAGAAAUCGCGACGGGGGGAUCCCAAGUGCCAUUCUUAACGGGAUGGCUUUUCUUAAGUGUAAAAAGCUUUUGGAAUAAGAGCUGGGCAAGACCGGUGCCAGCCGCCGCGGUAACACCGGCAGCUCUAGUGGUAGCUGUUUUAUUGGGCCUAAAGCGUUCGUAGCCGGUUUGAUAAGUCACUGGUGAAAUCCUGUAGCUUAACUGUGGGAAUUGCUGGUGAUACUGUUGAACUUGAGGUCGGGAGAGGUUAGCGGUACUCCCAGGGUAGAGGUGAAAUUCUGUAAUCCUGGGAGGACCACCUGUGGCGAAGGCGGCUAACUGGAACGAACCUGACGGUGAGGGACGAAAGCUAGGGGCGCGAACCGGAUUAGAUACCCGGGUAGUCCUAGCCGUAACGAUGCGGACUUGGUGUUGGGAUGGCUUUGAGCCGCUCCGGUGCCGAAGGGAAGCUGUUAAGUCCGCCGCCUGGGAAGUACGGUCGCAAGACUGAAACUUAAGGAAUU